rnacentral:rRNA from 1 species
GACGAAGGGGGCUAGCGUUGUUCGGAAUUACUGGGCGUAAAGCGAGUGUAGGUGGUUGUCCAAGUUGGAUGUGAAAGCCUUGAGCUCAACUCAAGAAAUGCAUUCAGGACUGGGCGGCUAGAGGACCGGAGAGGAUAGUGGAAUUCCCAGUGUAGUGGUGAAAAUACGUAGAGAUUGGGAAGAACACCAGUGGCGAAGGCGGCUAUCUGGACGGUUUCUGACACUAAGACUCGAAAGCGUGGGAGCAAACAGG